CCUACGGGAGGCAGCAGUGGGGAAUAUUGGGCAAUGGAGGCAACUCUGACCCAGCAAUGCCGCGUGAGUGAUGAAGGUAAUUUUAUUGUAAAGCUCUUUUCUUUGGAACGAAUAAAUGACGGUACCAAAGGAAUAAGCCCCGGCUAACUACGUGCCAGCAGCCGCGGUAAUACGUAGGGGGCAAGCGUUGUUCGGAAUGACUGGGCGUAAAGGGUGGGUAGGUGGUUUGAUAAGUUAGAUGUGUAAUACCCAGGGCUUAACUCGGGUGCUGCAUCUAAAACUGUUAGACUUGAGGACUGGAGAGGAUAGUGGAAUUCCUAGUGUAGCGGUGGAAGGCGUAGAUAUUAGGAGGAACAUCAGUGGCGAAGGCGACUAUCUGGACAGCAACUGACACUGAGGCACGAAAGCGUGGGGAGCAAACAGGAUUAGAUACCCGAGUAGUC
rnacentral:rRNA from 1 species